AUUUUUAAACCCAAGCCUAACCACACCCACGCCAAAUAUACCACAUACACAACCAAAACAUUUGACCAAACCAGUAUAUGAGAUAGCGAAACUUAAGCCCUCUUAGCGCAUCAGUACCGUAAGGGAAACAAGAAAGCGAUUAAUAAAAAUUUAAAACCCAAAAAGCAGAGAUUACACCACAUACCUUUUGCAUCGCAUGGUUUAACAAGACAAAUUAGACAAAGCGCCACUGCUCUUCAGCCUAAAACGCCCCGAAAUCAAGUGAGCUACCCCAGACCAACUUCUUAGAGUCAACCCGUCACUGUAGGCCAAAAGUGUGGGAAGAGUCCAGGGUAGUGGUGAAAAGCCAAACGAACUUGACAAUAGCGCUGGUUGUCCGACAAAUGAAUAUAAGUUCAACCUUAAAUAAAAUAUUUACAAGCCGCUAAAUACCUAACUAUUUAAGAUUUAGUCACUGGGGGCACAGCUCCAGUGACCAAGGAUGCACAACCUUAUAUAGUGACAAUUUUAGAUACUCCCACAUAGUAGGCCUCAAAGCGCAGCCAACAAAAAUUAAAUGCGUUAAAGCAACCCUUACCCCUAAUACCCAACAGCCACAUAAACUCCUAUCUCUAACCGGACCACUCUACACUAUAGAAAAGGCCCCCUGUUAAAACUAGUAAUAAGAAAUAUUCUCCACAACGUAAGUAAAACUUAAGCCAGACACAACAAUGCACCAAAAACACUAAAAUACAACAACCAAACCAAACUGUUAACGCCCAACCCAGGAACGUAUUAUGGAAAGAUAAAAAGCUGAAAAAGGAACUCGGCAAUAGCUAAGUCUCAACUGUUUACCAAAAACAUAGCCUUUAGCCAAAACAAGUAUUAAAGGUGAGCCGCCUGCCCAGUGACUCAUUCAACGGCCGCGGGAUCCUCCACCGUGCAAAGGUAGCAUAGCAUCACUUGUCUCCUAAAUAGAGACUAGUAUGAAUGGCCAAAUGAAGACUUACCUGUCUCUGCUACAGCCCAUCUAUUAAACUGAUCUUUCAGUACAAAAGCUGAAAUAAUCACACGCAAGACGAAAAGACCCUGUGGAACUUAAAGCCACAACCAACACAAAUGGUUUAAACGCGCUUUUAGUUGGGGCAACUUUGGAAAUAAACAAAACUUCCAAUUACCUGUCAAGAUAGCGACAUAUCAAAACAUCUUUAAACCCAUGACCCAGUAUUACUGAUUAAAGAGCAUAAAGCUACCCCAGGGAUAACAGCGCCAUCCCCUCUUAGAGCCCCCAUCGAUGAGCGGGGCGUUUACGACCUCGAU
rnacentral:rRNA from 1 species